rnacentral:rRNA from 1 species
UACGGAGGGGGCAAGCGUUGUUCGGAAUUACUGGGCGUAAAGGGCGCGUAGGCGGCCUUCUAAGUCAGACGUGAAAUCCCUCGGCUCAACCGGGGAACUGCGUCUGAGACUGGAAGGCUUGAAUCCGGGAGAGGGAUGUGGAAUUCCAGGUGUAGCGGUGAAAUGCGUAGAUAUCUGGAGGAACACCGGUGGCGAAGGCGGCAUCCUGGACCGGUAUUGACGCUGAGGCGCGAAAGCCAGGGGAGCAAACGGG